GGGGGGUUUGUGAAAGGUUUUGUGAAUGCGGAUAAACAAAAUUAAAAUACGGAUUCAAACAGAAAUGUAAACAAAAAUGGAAACAGAAAUGCAAACACUGAAUCAAAUACAAAAUAAAAAUGGUUGGUCAUUAACUCAAUUACCAUGCUUCCAAUCCCAGAUUAAAGACAAGUACACACUACUCUAAUCCAAAUCCGAC
rnacentral:lncRNA from 1 species